rnacentral:lncRNA from 1 species
UAAAAGGCCAUUCAAAGUCCAAGUUGUCUUGGAAGAGUCCUUGGUGCUCUUUCAACUCUUGGCAAAACUUUUCUUGUGUGUUUUAAUUUGUGUUACACGUUUANGAGUUACAUUAGAGUCCGACAUUAGAGUCCUAGNAUUUUCUUUGAUUAUUUGAGUCAUCUUUUUGUGAUCAUAAAAGUGAUUUUUGAGUUACAAUAACUAAGUAGCCUAGAACACUUUUGGCAAGGAAAAGGCUUGGUACUUAAGCAACCCUAGUGGUUCACCUCCCUUACCUGGAAUUUGUUCUUUGGUGAAAUCUAAGUAGUUGUAAC